rnacentral:rRNA from 1 species
GACGAACGCUGGCGGCGUGCUUAACACAUGCAAGUCGAACGGAAAGGCCCUGCUUUUGUGGGGUGCUCGAGUGGCGAACGGGUGAGUAACACGUGAGUAACCUGCCCUUGACUUUGGGAUAACUUCAGGAAACUGGGGCUAAUACCGGAUAGGAGCUCCUGCUGCAUGGUGGGGGUUGGAAAGUUUCGGCGGUUGGGGAUGGACUCGCGGCUUAUCAGCUUGUUGGUGGGGUAGUGGCUUACCAAGGCUUUGACGGAUAGCCGGCCUGAGAGGGUGACCGGCGACAAUGGGACUAAGAUACGGACCAGACUCCUACGGGAGGCAGAAGUGGAGAAUAUUGCGCAAUGGGCGGAAGCGUGAUGCAGCAACGCCGCGUGCGGGAUGACGGCCUUCGAGUUGUAAACCGCUUUCGCCUGUGACGAAGCGUGAGUGACGGUAAUGGGUAAAGAAGCACCGGCUAACUACGUG